CUACUGGAGGCAGCAGUGGGAGAAUCUUGGCAAUGGAGGAAACUCUGAUGCAGCGAUGCCGCGUGAGUGAAAAAAGCCUUUGGGUUGUAAAGCUCUUUCGUCGGGGAAGAAAAUGACUGUACCCGAAUAAGAAGGUCCGGCUAACUUCGUGCCAGCAGCCGCGGUAAUACGAAGGGACCUAGCGUAGUUCGGAAUUACUGGGCUUAAAGAGUUCGUAGGUGGUUGAAAAAGUUAGUGGUGAAAUCCCAGAGCUUAACUCUGGAACUGCCAUUAAAACUUUUCAGCUAGAGUAUGAUAGAGGAAAGCAGAAUUUCUAGUGUAGAGGUGAAAUUCGUAGAUAUUAGAAAGAAUACCAAUUGCGAAGGCAGCUUUCUGGAUCAUUACUGACACUGAGGAACGAAAGCAUGGGUAGCGAAGAGGAUUAGAUACCCUCGUAGUCCAUGCCGUAAACGAUGUGUGUUAGACGUUGGAAAUUUAUUUUCAGUGUCGCAGGGAAACCGAUAAACACACCGCCUGGGGAGUACGACCGCAAGGUUAAAACUCAAAGGAAUUGACGGA
rnacentral:rRNA from 1 species